CCCGCUCCCGGUAAAACGGGACGGCCCGCCAGAGGACCCCUAAACUCUGUUUCUAUAUGUAACUUCUGAGUAAAACCAUAAAUAAAUCAAAACUUUCAACAACGGAUCUCUUGGUUCUGGCAUCGAUGAAGAACGCAGCAAAAUGCGAUAAGUAAUGUGAAUUGCAGAAUUCAGUGAAUCAUCGAAUCUUUGAACGCACAUUGCGCCCGCCAGUAUUCUGGCGGGCAUGCCUGUUCGAGCGUCAUUUCAACCCUCAAGCCCUCGGGUUUGGUGUUGGGGAUCGGCGAGCCCUUGCGGCAAGCCGGCCCCGAAAUCUAGUGGCGGUCUCGCUGCAGCUUCCAUUGCGUAGUAGUAAAACCCUCGCAACUGGUACGCGGCGCGGCCAAGCCGUUAAACCCCCAACUUCUGAAUGUUGACCUCGGAUCAGGUAGGAAUACCCGCUGAACUUAAGCAUAUCAAUA
rnacentral:rRNA from 1 species